GUGCUCAGUCCGUAGAGCAGGAGACACUCUUAAUCUCAGGGUCCUGGGUUCAAGCCCCAGGUUGGACC